CCCGGGUCGCCCCUUCUCGCCCAAACGCUCGCGCGACAGUCUCGCGGUUUUUCCUUGCCCUGAGGGGGUUUUUUUGAACUGUGUGGCGCUAAUUCCAACUUGACAGCGUAAUUCCAACUUGGGUGCUUGGCUGCAGGCUGACCGGAGCCUGAGGCGACUUUGUACACUUGACCUGCGGUCCGUAGGACCCCCGCAGCCCAGAGCCGACCAGGCUCGUCCCGGCCGGGUCCCGGCACCAUGGGGGCGGAGAAGAAGCUGCUGCCGAUCAAGGAGGCCUUUCAGCUGGCGCAGCAGCCGCACCAGAACCAGGCGAAGCUGGUGGUGGCGCUGAGCCGCACCUACCGCACGGACUGAGGCAAAUAGCAGUGAAAUUCAGUGUUUGUUGUGCCAGAUUCUAAAUAAGUUCUUGGGAAAUAUGCUGGAAAAAGGCCAGAUUGAUAAUGUUUUGUGCAUAAAAUGGGUGAAGCUCUUCUUAUUAGACUGUGAGAUAAAAUUCCAAAUGUGAGGAUACAGGCAGUCGUGGCUCUUUCAAGACUUAAGAUGUAUGGGCAAUGAUUGCCCCGGUUAAAGAGGAAAACACUAUCCUGAAUUUUGUGCUACUCAUUACUCCUGGCUUGACCCCAGGACCCCAGGAUAAUGACCUGAGCCAAAGGCAGAUGCUUAGCCAACUGAGCUACCCAUGCACCCCAUGAACUAAGCUUCUAUGGGCAUUAUCAAACAUGUGGAAGAAUUUCUCUGGCUAGUAAUGCCUAGAAGCAGUGUUAGGGACUGAGUUGUGUGUCCACAAAAUUCAUAUGUUGAAGCCCUAACUCCCAAUACCUCAGAAUGUGACUGUAUGUGGAGAUGGGGUCUUUAAAGAGGUGAUUAAGUUAAAGUAAGGCCUUUGAGAGGGGGCCCUCAUCCAAUUUGACUGGUGUUUUAUAAGAAAAGGAAAUUAGAACAUGUCCAUGUAGAGAGGAAGGGCCAUGUGAGAGCACCGCAAGAGGACAUCUAUCUACAAGCCAAGAAGAGAGGCCUCAAGAACCCAAACCUGUCGACACUUUGAUCUUUGGACUUCUAGCUUCCAAAACCAGAAAAUAAAUUUCUGUUUUUUAAGUCACCUGGUCUAUAGUAUUUUUGUUACGGCAACCCCAGUAAACUAAUAAAGUUAGAAUUAUUAGAUGGUAGGAUUAUGUACGUGUUCAGCUUAAUUAAUAAUUCUGAUAUUUUUCUAAAGUAAUUGGACUAAUUUGCAAUUCUACUGGCAGUGUAUGAGAAUUCUUGUUCUGCAUUCUUGCCCAAAUAUGAUACUGUCAGACUUCACUUUUUCUAGUCUGGUAGGGGAGGAAUGAAAUACUAACGGUCAUUUUAAUUGCAUUUUCCUGACAACUAAGAGUUGAAUAUCUUCAUAUGUUUCUUGUUUCUAUAUCAAUAAAAUGCCUUUUAUAUCUUUGUCCA